rnacentral:sRNA from 1 species
AAGAUAAGUUCUGUAAGACAAGAGAUACUCUCAGAAAAAAGUCAUUGGCUUUAGAAACUGUACAAAACGACCUAAGCCAAACACAGCAGCAAAUAAAGGAAAUGAAAGAGAUGUAUCAAAGUGCAGAAGCUAAAGUGAGUAAAUCCACUGCAAAGUGGAACUGUGUAGAAGAGAGGACAUGUCAACUGCAACGUGAAAAUCCAUGGCUUGAACAGCAACUAGUUGAUGUUCAUCAGAAAGAGGAUCAUAAAGAGAUAUUAAUUAAUAUCCAAAGAGGCUUUAUUAAGAGUGGAAAGAAAGACCUCAUGCUAGAAGAGAAAAAUAAGAAGCUAAUGAAUGAAUAUGAUCAUUUAAAAGAAAGUCUCUUUCAAUAUGAGACAGAAAGCAGAAGCAGAAAGAGUAGUGGUUGUGAGACAACUUCAACAAGAAGUGGCUGACAGCCUAAAAAAAUUAACUAUGUUAGAGUCUCCACUGGAAGGUACAUCAUGUUGUCACAUUAAUUUGGGUGAGACACAGGCCUCAAAGAAGAAAUUAUUUCAAGUGGAAAGUCAACCUGAAGAAGAAAAUGAAGAAUUAAGGAAACUUUUUGUGUUAGUAUCAUCACUGGAGUAUAAUGUGAAUCAAAUAAGAAAGAAAAAUCAUGAAUUAGAAGAAGAGGCAACUGGAUAUAAGAAACUCCUGGAAUUGACAAUAAAUAUGUUAAGUGUAUUUGGAAAUGAAGACUUCGGUUGCCAUGGAGACUUAAAAACAGA